UAAGGAAUAUUGGUCAAUGGACGCAAGUCUGAACCAGCCAUGCCGCGUGAAGGAUUAAGGCCCUCUGGGUUGUAAACUUCUUUUAUAGGGGAAGAAAUGUGACGGUUCUCCGUCACUUGACGGUACCCUGGGAAUAAGCACCGGCUAACUCCGUGCCAGCAGCCGCGGUAAUACGGAGGGUGCAAGCGUUGUUCGGAUUUACUGGGCGUAAAGGGCGCGUAGGCGGCAAUUCAAGUCAGCUGUGAAAUCUCUGGGCUUAACCCGGAACGGCCAGCUGAUACUGCUUUGCUAGAGUGCGGAAGGGGCAAUCGGAAUUCUUGGUGUAGCGGUAAAAUGCGUAGAUAUCAAGAGGAACACCUGAGGUGAAGACGGGUUGCUGGGCCGACACUGACGCUGAGGCGCGAAAGCCAGGGGAGCAAACG
rnacentral:rRNA from 1 species